rnacentral:rRNA from 1 species
UACAGGGGGUGCAAACGUUGCUCGGAAUCAUUGGGCGUAAAGCGCACGUAGGCGGUGAGUUAAGUCUGAUGUGAAAUCCCCGGGCUCAACCUGGGAAUGGCCGUUGAAACUGGCGAACUGGAGUGUGGCAGAGGGGGGUGGAAUUCCGCGUGUAGCAGUGAAAUGCGUAGAGAUGCGGAGGAACACCGAUGGCGAAGGCAGCCCCCCUGGGCUGACACUGACGCUCAGGCACGAAAGCGUGGGGAGCAAACAGG